rnacentral:rRNA from 1 species
UGAGUGAUGAAGGUNUUCGGAUCGUAAAGCUCUGUUGUUAGGGAAGAACAAGUACCGUUCGAAUAGGGCGGUACCUUGACGGUACCUAACCAGAAAGCCACGGCUAACUACGUGCCAGCAGCCGCGGUAAUACGUAGGUGGCAAGCGUUGUCCGGAAUUAUUGGGCGUAAAGGGCUCGCAGGCGGUUUCUUAAGUCUGAUGUGAAAGCCCCCGGCUCAACCGGGGAGGGUCAUUGGAAACUGGGGAACUUGAGUGCAGAAGAGGAGAGUGGAAUUCCACGUGUAGCGGUGAAAUGCGUAGAGAUGUGGAGGAACACCAGUGGCGAAGGCGACUCUCUGGUCUGUAACUGACGCUGAGGAGCGAAAGCGUGGGGAGCGAACAGGAUUAGAUACCCUGGUAGUCCACGCCGUAAACGAUGAGUGCUAAGUGUUAGGGGGUUUCCGCCCCUUAGUGCUGCAGCUAACGCAUUAAGCACUCCGCCUGGGGAGUACGGUCGCAAGACUGAAACUCAAAGGAAUUGACGGGGGCCCGCACAAGCGGUGGAGCAUGUGGUUUAAUUCGAAGCAACGCGAAGAACCUUACCAGGUCUUGACAUCCUCUGACAAUCCUAGAGAUAGGACGUCCCCUUCGGGGGCAGAGUGACACG